GGGGCUGAUUCUGGAUUCGACGGGAUUUGCGAAACCCAAGGUGCAUGCCGAGGGGCGGUUGGCCUCGUAAAAAGCCGCAAAAAAUAGUCGCUAGAGCCCUCUCUCCCUAGCCUCCGCUCUUAGGACGGGGAUCAAGAGAGGUCAAACCCAAAAGAGAUCGCGUGGAAGCCCUGCCUGGGGUUGAAGCGUUAAAACUUAAUCAGGCUAGUUUGUUAGUGGCGUGUCCGUCCGCAGCUGGCAAGCGAAUGUAAAGACUGACUAAGCAUGUAGUACCGAGGAUGUAGGAAUUUCGGACGCGGGUUCAACUCCCGCCAGCUCCACCA
rnacentral:tmRNA from 1 species